CUUUGUAACCGUUCUUCCAUAUCUUUCUCUUUCCCUCUGCAAUAAAGCCACAACCACAACUCACUCUCUUUUCCAAAUCAAAGAAAUGGCCAUCGCCACCACUAUAUCUAUACUACAAUCAUCCUCCGUUCGUAACGUCACCAGAAGCUCAGCUCCCAAGCGAAGGUCGCUCGAUUUUCCUUCAAUUUUUUGAAAUCGAAGCAAAUAUGAAUCUAUUUUUCGAAAUCUGAUCCUCCGCCCUCCCGCUUCGCCACUCAUAUUCCACGAUGAAUAAUGGCAACGCCUAACCACUAAUCCACUGAUAGAAUGUUGAAAUCUGAGCUUCUCAAUCACCCGAUGGUAUGGAAAAGUUGUUCCCAUCCUCAACAAUUGUUCGCUUAGCUUCCCCUCUGGACAGUUCUGGAUGCUUCUUGUCCCCAAUGGCUGUGGAAAAUUCAUCCUCAAAAGUAUGUAUGCACAUACUACAUACUUCUAGUUUAAAUUAUAUCUUUUAAUUCCAAAAUUUUAACAUUAUUUCCAAUUUAAAGCAUGGACACAAACUUUUGGGUGUUGCAGGAUUGUUCUUGCUGUGUGCAUUGAUUGCUUGUACCUUUCUUCGUCUGGAGUGCCUU
rnacentral:lncRNA from 1 species